rnacentral:sRNA from 1 species
AAAUAAACCCGACCGACAGCGUUAUCCCGACUUUUUCAGUCGGAUUAAGCAAAGGGCGGGGCUGGUG